rnacentral:rRNA from 1 species
UACGUAGGGUGCGAGCGUUGUCCGGAAUUAUUGGGCGUAAAGAGCUCGUAGGCGGUCUGUCGCGUCUGCUGUGAAAACUCAGGGCUUAACCCUGAGCUUGCAGUGGGUACGGGCAGACUAGAGUGCGGUAGGGGAGAAUGGAAUUCCCGGUGUAGCGGUGAGAUGCGCAGAUAUCGGGAAGAACACCCGUGGCGAAGGCGGUUCUCUGGGACGGUACUGACGCUGAGACGCGAAAGCGUGGGGAGCGAACAGG